rnacentral:rRNA from 1 species
AAUGAACGCUGGCGGCAUGCCUUACACAUGCAAGUCGAACGGUAACGGGCCUUCGGGUGCCGACGAGUGGCGAACGGGUGAGUAAUGCAUCGGAACGUACCUUUCAGUGGGGGAUAACGUAGCGAAAGUUACGCUAAUACCGCAUAUUCUGUGAGCAGGAAAGCAGGGGAUCGCAAGACCUUGCGCUGAUUGAGCGGCCGAUGUCAGAUUAGCUAGUUGGUGAGGUAAAGGCUCACCAAGGCGACGAUCUGUAGCGGGUCUGAGAGGAUGAUCCGCCACACUGGGACUGGGACACGGCCCAGACUCCUACGGGAGGCAGCAGUGGGGAAUUUUGGACAAUGGGGGCAACCCUGAUCCAGCCAUGCCGCGUGAGUGAGGAAGGCCUUCGGGUUGUAAAGCUCUUUCGGCCGGGAAGAAAUCGCACAGGCUAAUACCUUGUGUGGAUGACGGUACCGGAAUAAGAAGCACCGGCUAACUACGUGCCAGCAGCCGCCGCAGUAA